AGUUUGGAGAAAGUUGAUCCUGGCUCAGAUUGAACGCUGGCGGCAGGCCUAACACAUGCAAGUCGAACGGUAACAGGAAGCAGCUUGCUGAUUUGCUGACGAGUGGCGGACGGGUGAGUAAUGUCUGGGAAACUGCCUGAUGGAGGGGGAUAACUACUGGAAACGGUAGCUAAUACCGCAUAACGUCGCAAGACCAAAGAGGGGGACCUUCGGGCCUCUUGCCAUCGGAUGUGCCCAGAUGGGAUUAGCUAGUAGGUGGGGUAAAGGCUCACCUAGGCGACGAUCCCUAGCUGGUCUGAGAGGAUGACCAGCCACACUGGAACUGAGACACGGUCCAGACUCCUACGGGAGGCAGCAGUGGGGAAUAUUGCACAAUGGGCGCAAGCCUGAUGCAGCCAUGCCGCGUGUAUGAAGAAGGCCUUCGGGUUGUAAAGUACUUUCAGCGGGGAGGAAGGGAGUAAAGUUAAUACCUUUGCUCAUUGACGUUACCCGC
rnacentral:rRNA from 1 species